rnacentral:lncRNA from 1 species
CCGUACAUAUUUCGGUGUUGCCUUUCAUUUGAAUUGGAAGUAUCGCAUGGUACCAAAGAUUUAGAUGUCUGAUCACUGAUGCAUCUUCUUUUAGGUGACAAGCCUAAAACUAGUUUUCUUUCUACAAUAGUACGGAGUGUUAAUCCUAUUAUGAGAAGAUAAGCAGUUGCGAACAAUUAUAAUUGACAAAGAACACUCAAUUUUUU